rnacentral:lncRNA from 10 species
UUGGCCUCCCAAAGUGCUGGGAUUACAGGCAUGAGCCACCACGCUCGGCCUCGACAAGCUCAGUUUCAAGUGGAUGUGGCUACACCCAUCACAAGCGUUAACGAUCCCUGCUGCUGGACGAGCUCACAGCCCCCAUGCCUUUCCCCUCACAUGGUCUUGGUGCACACAGUAUUAUUCCUCCAUUCCCAGGGGAGGAAGCUGAGGCUCAGACAGCCCUACCUUUUCCUUCCAGCAGAUUCCAGGAAGUAACCCCAGGCUGAGGUCGCGCUGGAACAUCCAUUGCUUGAGCCCAGGAGUUCGAGACUAGUCUGGGCGACAGAGUGAGACCCUGUCUCACACAAACACAACAAGAAUAAGAGAUCAAGGCUCUGAGAAUAGUGCUGCUGCCCAAGGUCACACAGCUAGUAAGUGACUACAGAGCUGCCAGGCUACAGUAAACCACUCUAGGCCAGUGCAGGUCUUGCCAGCUGACCCACUGCCUGCAGCUGCACCUGUGAGCAGCCAGGAGAGGCGUCAUGGGGCCCACUCAGCACAGCUCAAGGGCUUCACUCAUGUGCGUGCCAUCCUUGCAACAACUCUGUAUGUCAUGAACCUCACUCUUCCCCACCUCCCUUCUGAGUCCUGCUUUUCUCUCUCUCAGAACUUAUUCACUCUUGGUUUACACACACUUCUAACAAGUGAUAGGGAGUAAAGAGCACUGAUCCGUUAGAGUCCCAGGGCAAGUGUGUUAGUAUUUGUUUCUCUUCCCCUAUCUGGAAAAUUGAGAUAAAAAUAAGUGCUUAGGGCUGAGGGUCUCUCCCAGGGUAGAGAAUCUCAAAGUCACAGUAUCCUGAGGUGGGGGCAGUGGGGCUCUGCGCUGCUCUCCUGGAGGCCUGGGGACAGGGUGGAGAGAGUCACAAUAAGGGAGUCAGCAGUUUCUCCUUUCUGGGCCUCCGUCGUGCUUUCUAGACAAUAAUGGGGUGGUAGCUGGAGAUGGCUGAAGCCCCUUCCAGACUGGACUCCCCAUUACAGACAAAUAAAUAACUUGGCUCCCCAAAUGAGUGUGGCUCCCCAAGAAGCAGAGCCUGAAACAAGGAUCUGAGUGCAAGGAGUUCAUUUGGGAGGGGUCCCAGGAAGCCCCAGUAGGGAUGUGAGCGAGGGAUGGCAAGGAGAGAAUGCAGGGUGCCCCAGGAGCAGGUGCCACCAUGAGCAGCUGGGGCUCGUGCCUCCAGGGAGCCCCGGGACGCGUGGAACACAUGUCUUCAGAGUCAUCCUGUCCCAGGGAGAGGAGGCCGGGGUCUUCAGCCCCCAAUUCUUAUCUGUCUUUUGUUGAGGGUUGCUCUGGGGAGCUUGAACUUUCCAGCAUUUCUGGCCAGCCCCACCUUGGGGGCAGCCUCCUCCUGCAGCCAGGAAAGGUGCUCAGGCAGAGUGGCAGGGGCUUGCCAUUGGCAUGAGGGCAGCUGUGCAUAGGAAACAGCGCUUCCAAAGGGAGGCCGGCCUGGCAUGGAGAGUGUAUUCCCCACACACUAAGACCCGAAGGGGCACCAGUGGCAUUUCCUGGGUUGCACUACCAGUUAGCAACAGGCCACACUGAGAAGCCAGGUCCCCUGACUCAUCAGCCAGGGCUCCUCCUGCCACCAUGUUUCUCUUCUUGUCUCCUUUCCCCUGGGAGAGUCCAGGCUCUGCAUCCUCCUUGCCUGUCCUCCCUCACAUGGCUUAGUAAUAGCACUUUGGCAGCAGAUACGAAUGUCUUGAGAAUAAAAAAAAAACACCAAAUGGUUCAAAUCUGUGAAACUUUCAGCUCUUCACAGAAAAAGGCCUUGUCAUCUCCAUGUUUCCACCCCAGUCCUUGACCCAGUGCCCAGCACAAGGUAGGCCCUCAACACGCAGAUGAACUGACAUCUUGGCCAGUUGCUGUGUGGCAUGGGGCAAUUCCUACACCUUCUUAACCGUUCCCUC